rnacentral:rRNA from 1 species
UGGGGAAUUUUGCACAAUGGGCGCAAGCCUGAUGCAGCCAUGCCGCGUGUAUGAAGAAGGCCUUCGGGUUGUAAAGUACUUUCAGCGGGGAGGAAGGGAGUAAAGUUAAUACCUUUGCUCAUUGACGUUACCCGCAGAAGAAGCACCGGCUAACUCCGUGCCAGCAGCCGCGGUAAUACGGAGGGUGCAAGCGUUAAUCGGAAUUACUGGGCGUAAAGCGCACGCAGGCGGUUUGUUAAGUCAGAUGUGAAAUCUCCGGGCUCAACCUGGGAACUGCAUCUGAAACUGGCAGGCUUGAGUGUCGUAGAGGGGGGUAGAAUUCCAGGUGUAGCGGUGAAAUGCGUAGAGAUCUGGAGGAAUACCGGUGGCGAAGGCGGCCCCCUGGACGAAGACUGACGCUCAGGUGCGAAAGCGUGGGGAGCAAACAGG